rnacentral:rRNA from 1 species
AUUGAACGCUGGCGGCAGGCUUAACACAUGCAAGUCGAGCGGAGAUGAGGUGCUUGCACCUUAUCUUAGCGGCGGACGGGUGAGUAAUGCUUAGGAAUCUGCCUAUUAGUGGGGGACAACAUUCCGAAAGGAAUGCUAAUACCGCAUACGCCCUACGGGGGAAAGCAGGGGAUUUUCGGACCUUGCGCUAUUAGAUGAGCCUAAGUCGGAUUAGCUAGUUGGUGGGGUAAAGGCCUACCAAGGCGACGAUCGGUAGCGGGUCUGAGAGGAGGAUCCGCCACACUGGGACUGAGACACGGCCCAGACUCCUACGGGGGGCAGCAGUGGGGAAUAUUGGACAAUGGGCGGAAGCCUGAUCCAGCCAUGCCGCGUGUGUGAAGAAGGCCUUUUGGUUGUAAAGCACUUUAAGCGAGGAGGAGGCUACCUGGAUUAAUACUCUAGGAUAGUGGACGUUACUCGCAGAAUAAGCACCGGCUAACUCUGUGCCAGCCGCCGCGGUAAAAC